rnacentral:rRNA from 1 species
UACGAACCGUACAAACGUUAUUCGGAAUCACUGGGCUUAAAGGGUGCGUAGGCGGCCAUGUACGUGAGGUGUGAAAUCCCUCGGCUCAACCGAGGAACUGCGCUUCAUACUGCAUGGCUUGAGGGAGACAGGGGUAAGCGGAACUGAUGGUGGAGCGGUGAAAUGCGUUGAUAUCAUCAGGAACACCGGUGGCGAAAGCGGCUUACUGGGUCUCUUCUGACGCUGAGGUACGAAAGCUAGGGGAGCGAACGGG